rnacentral:rRNA from 1 species
AUUGAACGCUGGCGGCAGGCCUAACACAUGCAAGUCGAACGAGUGGCGGACGGGUGAGUAAUGUCUGGGAAACUGCCUGAUGGAGGGGGAUAACUACUGGAAACGGUAGCUAAUACCGCAUACCAUCGGAUGUGCCCAGAUGGGAUUAGCUAGUAGUGGGGGUAAAGGCUCACCGAGGCGACGAUCCCUAGCUGGUCUGAGAGGAUUACCAGACACACUGGAACUGAGACACGGUCCAGACGCCUACGGGAGGCAGCAGUGGGGAAUAUUGCACAAUGGGCGCAAGCCUGAUGCAGCCAUGCCGCGUGGAUGAAGAAGGCCUGCGGGUUGUAAAGUACUUUCAGCGGGGAGGCGUUACCCGCAGAAGAAGCACCGGCUAACUCCGUGCCAGCAGCCGCGGUAAUAC